rnacentral:rRNA from 1 species
UGGCCAGGCAAGUCCGUCGGGAAAUCCAACGGCUCAACCGUUGGGCGGCCGGCGGAAACUGCGUGGCUUGGGACCGGAAGGCUCGAGGGGUACGUCCGGGGUAGGAGUGAAAUCCCGUAAUCCUGGACGGACCACCGAUGGCGAAAGCACCUCGAGAAGACGGAUCCGACAGUGAGGGACGAAAGCUGGGGUCUCGAACCGGAUUAGAUACCCGGGUAGUCCCAGCCGUAAACGAUGCCAGUUAGGUGUGGCGCAGGCUACGAGCCUGCGCUGUGCCGUAGGGAAGCCGUGAAGUGAGCCGCCUGGGAA